UGACCUCAGAUCAGGCAAGGCAACCCGCUGAAUUUAAGCAUAUUAAUAANCGGAGGAAAAGAAACUAACAAGGAUUCCCCUAGUAAUGGCGAAUGAAGCGGGAACAGCUCAAAUUUAAAAUCUCCGUUGCUUGCAACGGCGAAUUGUAGUUUCGAGAAGCACUUUCUCGGCGGAUCCGAGGUCGUCCAAGUUGCUUGGAACAGCACGUCGUAGAGGGUGACAACCCCGUCUGCGGCGAUCUCGGCCGUUCACGAUGUGCUUUCGACGAGUCGGGUUGUUUGGGAAUGCAGCCCAAAAUGGGUGGUAAACUCCAUCUAAAGCUAAAUAUUGGCACGAGACCGAUAGCGAACAAGUACCGUGAGGGAAAGAUGAAAAGCACUUUGAAAAGAGAGUUAAAAAGUACGUGAAACCGUUAAAAGGGAAACGAAUGGGGUUAGCAAUGCGUCGUGCGAGAUUCAGCCGGUGGGUGGGCCAGGCGGGCGGUUGGCGGAUCUGAAUGGACCGCUGCCGUUCGGGUUGGUUUCCCGACCGUCGCACUUCUCGCAGGCGCGCGCCAACGUCGGUUAGGGCUGGGUUUCAAAGGCGGUGGAAAGGUAGGUUUGGACUCUCGGGCCCGAACUGUUACAGUCCUCCGUUCGUCAUGGCCCGGACCUGACCGAGGAGCUUGCGGUGCAUGCCGUUCGGCUAGGGUCCCGUCUUCCCGGUCGGUCGUCGAAUGCGGUGGACUGCGUGCAGUGCGCCGCGACUGCUGCCGGUCGCGAGGGCGGUGAUUUCGUACUAUGCACCCACGACGUUGGCGAUCAUAUGGCCUCAUCCGACCCGUCUUGAAACACGGACCAAGGAGUCUAACAUGUGUGCGAGUCUUUGAGUGAUCGAAACUCCGAGGCGAAAUGAAAGUGAAGG
rnacentral:ncRNA from 1 species